CAAUGGCGUAUAUUAAAGUUGUUGCAGUUAAAAAGCUCGUAGUUGGAUUUCUGGCAGGAGCGACCGGUCGGCCCAUUGUGGUGUGUACUAGUGUUGCAUCUGGCCAUAUUUGUGGAGAGCGUGUGUGGCAUUAAUUUGUCGUGCUCGGGACCCGCAUCGUUUACUGUGAGAAAAUUAGAGUGUUCAAAGCAGGCUUAUGCCUUGGAUAUGUUAGCAUGGAAUAAUAAGAUAAGACUUUGGCGGUCUAUUUUGUUGGUUUGCACGCCAUUGUAAUGAUUGAUAGGGACAGUUGGGGGCAUUAGUAUUUAAUUGUCAGAGGUGAAAUUCUUGGAUUUAUUAAAGACUAACUUAUGCGAAAGCAUUUGCCAAGGAUGUUUUCAUUAAUCAAGAACGAAAGUUAGGGGAUCAAAGAUGAUCAGAUACCGU
rnacentral:rRNA from 1 species